UGUCGGAUCGUCAAAAGGAGCUUCUGCUGGCUUUUGUGAAAGAGCACCCACAGAUCGCGACGCUGUCGUGCCCGCUGGAGCCGUCGUUCACGAGGGAGGACCGGGACGACAUGUGGCAGGAGCUAGUAGCGCUUUUGAACGAAGAAGUCCCUGCGCGUAACACCAGGGCCCAGUGGCAGGCCCGAUGGAGGAAUGAGCGCUACUAUUCGCAGCAGGGUCUUGUCAAACUCCGAGGGCAGCAGAGCGGCACCCGAGGCGGCCAGAUUUCGGAUUACCGCGGCCGCGUCGUGCUUGACAGGGACGAGUGUGCGAGGCCCAUAGUUCGGGUGGUCUGAAUCGGUGAGCCCUGCUCCAGCUGCUACUGGUGUGGCUGAAGAGGAUGUGGCCCAGGAUCUUUCCCGUGCCCCAAUUCCUCAUGCCGCAGCUGCGAGAUGGGGGCAACCGGCAGGCCGAGGCGCUGGAGUUACUAGCCGCAAACACCAGGCGGCAGGGCCAGGCAUCAUUGGAAAGCUGCGCCAG